AGUCUCUUGUUCCUAAUUUCUGUGCAAUAUUGCAUUAGUAGAUAGCUCAUACUACAUAUCGUUUCUAUUUUUUUAGCAUAAGGAUUGACACACCAGUAGGAUUAUCUCUGUAGCUGCCCCUAUAUAUAAGACUGUGCAUUUUAUUCUUCGCAUUAAGUCCUGUUUAAAUAUGUUUGCAACAAUAUGUAUCACUGCCUUAGCAU